GGGGAUUUAGCUCAGUGGCAUAAGCGCCUGCCUUGAAAGCAAGCAGUCGUGAGUUCAAUCCCCG
rfam:Cavia porcellus supercont2_5 genomic scaffold, whole genome shotgun sequence.